rnacentral:misc_RNA from 1 species
AAAAACAUGAGGCUCCUUCCCUUGUUUUAAUUCUCUUUCUCGAAUGGUUCAUAAAUUACAAAAAUUUCCUCUUAUGAGAUUGUGCAAAUGUCCAAUUUUCAUUUGAAAAAAUGCACAGGCUAUUUCAAGAUUGUUGUUGCUCUAGCAGCAGCAGUGAUUUCUGAAGGCCUUCCUGCCUGCGGUAAGGAAAAAUGGCACAAAAGAAUGAAUUUGUAAGAAAGCUGCCAAGGGUAGAAGCCUUUAGAUGCACAAAACAG